AGCCGCCGCGGUAAUACGGAGGGUGCAAGCGUUACUCGGAAUCACUGGGCGUAAAGAGCGUGUAGGCGGGUAUAUAAGUCAGAAGUGAAAUCCAAUAGCUUAACUAUUGAACUGCUUUUGAAACUGUAUACCUAGAAUGUGGGAGAGGUAGAUGGAAUUUCUGGUGUAGGGGUAAAAUCCGUAGAGAUCAGAAGGAAUACCGAUUGCGAAGGCGAUCUACUGGAACAUUAUUGACGCUGAGACGCGAAAGCGUGGGGAGCAAACAGGAUUAGAUACCCUGGUAGUCCACGCCCUAAACGAUGUACACUAGUUGUUGUGAGGCUCGACCUUGCAGUAAUGCAGUUAACACAUUAAGUGUACCGCCUGGGGAGUACGGUCGCAAGAUUAAAACUCAAAGGAAUAGACGGGGACCCGCACAAGCGGUGGAGCAUGUGGUUUAAUUCGACGAUACACGAAGAACCUUACCUGGACUUGACAUAGUAAGAACUUUCUAGAGAUAGAUUGGUGUCUGCUUGCAGAAACUUAUAUACAGGUGCUGCACGGCUGUCGUCAGCUCGUGUCGUGAGAUGUUGGGUUAAGU
rnacentral:rRNA from 1 species